CCGCCUGCGCAGGCGCAAUUGCCCGCAAACCCGGAAGCGGAGGGAGGGGCGCUAGCCCUUGGAUUUUCUGUCACGACUGGGUAUUUUAGACGCCCCUCAAGCCCCCGAUCCGCCACAUCCAAGGUUCAGGGGUCGUCAUGUACGUUAAGAUCCCCUUCAUCCAUUCGUCUGCCCUCGGACUAUCUUCUCAAGACCAGUCUUUGCCUGAGGAAGAAACCUAGAAGAGGAGGAAGAAGAAAGAACAGGAGUCAGGCAUGGCUCUUUCUCAGGCACAGUUGACCUUCAAGGAUUUGGCUAUCGAAUUCUCUCAGGAGGAGUGGGAAUGCCUGGACCUUGCUCAGAGGGCCUUGUACAGGGACGUGAUGGUGGAGAUCUGUGGGUGAGGAUCACUUCCCUCAAGGAGUCGGGAUCUGCCCCAAUACCUCCAUUAGGUUCAUGACCAAGGAAUUAUUACAGAAGAAGUAUAUUAAUAACAGAGAAUUAUACCAACCAGUGGUCUUGGGAAGAUUCAGAAACCAUGGUAUUGAAGAAUCUGACUUCAGUGAAGUCUGGAGAAAUACCUUUGAAUUUGAGAAUAAGUGUGGAUAUGCAGGAAGAAAUUCCAAAGGAACACUUAUGGCAAAUAACAUAAAUCUCACUGGUAGAAAAGGUGAACAAGACAGCAAAGCCAGGAUUAAUUUACCUUUAAAACCAAGUGUUUCUUUAUCACAUGAAAAGAUGCUCAGUUUCUUUAAGAAAAAGUACAUGUCAGUUUUUAAAAAAUAGGAAGUCAUUUGUAAAGAAUUUGUUAAAAAUAAAAAAUGGCACAGUUUAUGCAGGAAACAAGUACACAAAAUGUUUUGAAAAUAGAAUUGGAUUAAGUUUUCAGUCACAUCUGACGGAAUGGCAGAGAUUUCAAACUGAAGGGAAAAUUUAUGAGUGUAAUUAAGUUGAAACGUCUAUCAAAACUUGUUCCUCAAUUUUGUCACUUCAAAGAUUUCCUCCUAGUGUCAAAACCAACAUUUCUAAUAAAUAUGGAAAGGUC